rnacentral:rRNA from 1 species
GGAUGACCAAGGGUUCCUGGGCUAGGUUAAUCCUCCCAGGGUGAGUCGGGACCUAAGGCGAGGCCGACAGGCGUAGUCGAUGGACAACGGGUUGAUAUUCCCGUACCCGUGUCAGAUCGCCCCUGAUGAAUCAGUUGUACUAACCGUCCUGAAGCCGCGAGAUCACCUUCGGGUGACGAGCUGGUGGAUGCACGGGACCUCGGCUGGUAGUAGUCAAGCGAUGGGGUGACGCAGGAAGGUAGUGGGGCCAGUCAGUGGUUGUACUGGUGUAAGCCUGUAGGGCGAGAUCUAGGCAAAUCCGGAUCUCAUAUAGCCUGAGAGGUGAUGCGUAGCCGUUGCGGUGAAUUCCAUGAUCCUAUGCUGCCGAGAAAAGCCUCUAGCGAGAUCUGAUGUG